CUGAAUCUGUUUUUCAAUAGAUUCGACCAGUUGCCCACUCUGUCUCCACCACUGCUGCAUUCAACGACCCCUACCCCUAUUGUGCCUCAUCCUGACACCUCUGACGACUCAGCCCGCAGCCCCCUCCCCUCACCAACCCCCACACUGCCACUCACAAAAGCCCAGGUGAGAAAGCAGCUCAGCAGAACAAAGGCUAGGAAAGCGUCGGGCCCAGAUGGCAUCAGCCCCAGGCUCCUCAGGACAUGUGCAGAUGAACUGUGCAGCGUUAUGCUGUACAUGUUCAGUCUGAGCCUGAAGCUGGGGAAGGUGCCACAGUUGUGGAAGACAUCCUGCGUGGUCCCAGUUCCAAAGACAUCCCGGCCGACUGACUUCAAGGACUACAGACCGGUGGCGCUGACCUCUCAUCUGAUGAAGACGAUGGAGAGGCUGGUGCUCACACAUCUUCGUCCCAUGGUCAGCCAGUCAAUGGACCCGCUGCAGUUCGCCUACCAGCCCGGUACCAGAGUUGAGGAUGCUGUCAUCUUCCUCCUGGACAGAGCUCUGUCACACCUGGACCAGACUGGGAGCUCUGUGAGAGUCAUGUUUUUCAACUUCUCCAGCGCUUUCAACACCAUUCAACCGCUGCUGCUGAGGGACAAGUUGGGUGUGGACCAGCAUCUGUCUGUAUGGAUGCUGGACUACCUCUCAAACCGACUGCAGUACGUGAGGUCUCGCCACUGUGAGUCUGACAUGAUUGUCUGUAACACAGGAGCACCGCAGGGAACAGUUCUGGCUCCAUUCCUGUUCACUGUCUACACCGCAGACUUCAUGUCCAGCUCAGCAUCUUGUCACCUGCAGAAGUUCUCGGAUGACUCUGCCGUUGUCGGACUAAUCAUGGAUGACGAUGACAGAGAGUAUAGAGAACUGAUUCAGAACUUUGUGGACUGGUGCCAGCGGAACUACCUCCAGAUUAAUGCACGGAAAACCAAGGAGCUGGUGGUAGACUUUCGCAGGCACACACACUCUACAUUAGCACCGGUGAACAUCCAAGGAAGGGACAUAGAGAGAGUGGAUUCAUACAAGUACUUGGGUGUUCACCUCAACAAUAAACUGGACUGGUCACACAAUACAGAAGCACUGUACAAAAAAGGACAGAGCAGACUUUAUCUGCUGAGGAGACUGAGGUCUUUUGGAGUGCAGGGAUCACUCCUAAAGACUUUUUAUGACUCUGUAGUGGCAUCAGCCAUCUUUUAUGGAUUGGUCUGCUGGUGCAGCAGCAUCCCGGCUGCAGAAAAGAAGCGGCUGGAGAAGCUUGUGAAGAAGGCCAGCUCCGUUCUGGGGCUGCCUUUGGACUCAAUGCAGGAGGUGGGAGAGAGGAGGAUGGUAGCUAAGCUAUCAUCCAUGAUGAAGAACGGCGCCCACCCCAUGUAUGAGUCUGUGUCCUCUCUGUGCAGCUCCUUCAGCGUCAGACUGAGACACCCUAAGUGUCUGAAGGAGCGACACCGCAGGUCGUUUCUACCUGCUGCCGUUAGACUGUACAACCUUAGCUGCUCCCAGUGAACCAUGUUAACCAACAUCAUUGGCUCUGUCAUAUUUCUUUUAUCCUGUGCAAUAACCGAUAUAUGGUCAUCCUGUGCAAUUUUUUUUUGGAAAUGUAUGUGUAUAUUG
rnacentral:lncRNA from 1 species